GACGUAGGGCGCGAGCGUUGUCCGGAUUUAUUGGGCGUAAAGAGCUCGUAGGCGGCUUGUCGCGUCGGCUGUGAAAACCCGCGGCUCAACUGUGGGCGGGCAGCUGAUACGGGCAGGCUGGAGUUCGGUAGGGGAGACUGGAAUUCCUGGUGUAGCGGUGAAAUGCGCAGAUAUCAGGAGGAACACCGGUGGCGAAGGCGGGUCUCUGGGCCGAUACUGACGCUGAAAAGCGAAAGCCAGGGGAGCAAACGGG
rnacentral:rRNA from 1 species